AUGUGGCACAAGAUCGGCAAUACCUUGCCGGUGAUGGUCAACGGCCGGCAGACGGGCAACAAAAAGGUUCUGGUGCUGCACACCAACAAGAACUUCGACCAGCAAAGGACCAACUGGGUGAUGCACCAGUACCACCUCGGGGCCCUGGAGCAAGAGAAGGAGCGGGAGCUGGUCCUCUGCAAGAUUUUCUACCAGACGAACACUAGGGCCCAGCCCAUGAUGACAACUGGCACAAAGAUCCAGUAG
rnacentral:rRNA from 1 species